rnacentral:rRNA from 1 species
AUUGAACGCUGGCGGCAGGCCUAACACAUGCAAGUCGAGCGAGCGUGGGACGGGUGAGUGAGGUAUGGGGAGCUGCCCGAUAGAGGGCGAUAACUCCUGGAAGCGGUAGCUAAUACAGCAUAAUGUCGAAUGAUUCCAUAUCGGAUUAGCUAGUCGGUACGGUAUUGGCUUACCUAGGCGACGAUCCCUAGCUGGUCUGAGAGGAUGAUCAGCCACACUGGGACUGAGACACGGCCCAGACUCCUACGGGAGGCAGCAGUGGGGAAUAUUGCACAAUGGGCGCAAGCCUGAUGCAGCCAUGCCGCGUGUAUGAAGAAGGCCUUAGGGUUGUAAAGUACUUUCAGUCGGGAGGCGUUACCCGCAGAAGAAGCACCGGCUAACUCCGUGCCAGCAGCCGCGGUAAUUC